rnacentral:misc_RNA from 1 species
GAUGAAGAACGUAGUGAAAUGCGAUAAGUAAUGUGAAUUGCAGAAUUCAGUGAAUCAUCGAAUCUUUGAACGCACAUUGCGCCCCUUGGUAUUCCGAGGGGCAUGCCUGUUCGAGCGUCAUUAUAACCCUUCAAGCUCAGCUUGGUGUUGGGGCCUGCUGUAACUGGUAGCCCUUAAAAUCAGUGGCAGUGCUAUUAGGCUCUAAGCGUAGUAAUUCUUCUCGCUAUAGUGUGUAGUGAGCGCUUGCCAGAACCCCAAACUUUUAUAUGAUUGACCUCGGAUCAGGUAGGGAUACCCGCUGAACUUAAGCAUAUCAAUAAGCGGAGGA